AGAGUUUGAUCAUGGCUCAGAAUCAACGCUGGCGGCGUGCCUAACACAUGCAAGUCGAACGAGAAAGCGGGGGCAACUCCGUGAGUAAAGUGGCGACCGGGUGAGUAACACGUGACUAACCUACCCUUGAGUGAGGAAUAACCUCGGGAAACCGGGGCUAAUACCGCAUAACAUCGCGAGGUGAAAUUCCUUGCGAUCAAAGGAGCAAUUUGCUGAAGGAGGGGGUCGCGGCUGAUUAGCUAGUUGGUGGGGUAACGGCCCACCAAGGCAAUGAUCAGUAGCCGGCCUGAGAGGGCGCACGGCCACACUGGAACUGAAACACGGUCCAGACUCCUACGGGAGGCAGCAGUGGGGAAUUUUGCGCAAUGGGGGAAACCCUGACGCAGCAACGCCGCGUGGAGGAUGAAGUCCCUUGGGAUGUAAACUCCUUUCGAUCGGGACGAAUAAUGACGGUACCGGAAGAAGAAGCACCGGCUAACUCUGUGCCAGCAGCCGCGGUAAUACAGAGGGUGCAAGCGUUGUUCGGAAUUAUUGGGCGUAAAGGGCGCGUAGGCGGUGCGGUAAGUGUGUUGUGAAAUCUUCGGGCUCAACUCGAAGCCUGCAACGCAGACUGCCGUGCUUGAGUAUGGGAGAGGUGAGUGGAAUUCCCGGUGUAGCGGUGAAAUGCGUAGAUAUCAGGAGGAACACCUGCGGUGUAGACGGCUUUCUGGACCAUCACUGACGCUGAGACACGAAAGCGUGGGUAGCAAACAGGAUUAGAUACCCUAGUAGUCC
rnacentral:rRNA from 1 species